rnacentral:snRNA from 1 species
GUGCUCGCUUCGGCAGCACACAUACUAAAAUUGGAACGAUACAGAGAAGAUUAGCUUGGCCCCUGCGCAAGGAUGACACGCAAAUUGUGACGCAUUCCAUAUUUUU